UUGAUUAAGGUGGUUAAGGAAUCACUUUCUAGAGAUUAAUGUAAAGACAAAUAUUUACAGAAAUGCAUGGUAGAUCAAUAACUGUCAACUUGUAAAUAAGCUAUUGCAAAUGUGGUGGGGGGUCUAGUAUCAGUUCCAAAAGUUUCUUCUCUGAUGAAAACUUUGUGCUUUUAUUCACAAUGGAGAACAAGCAGUGAAAUAAUUGUAGUGAAAUAAUUAUUGUGCAGAGAGAUCAUGCCCACAUGUGUAUGGAAGUAGGGUUAUAAAUGUAGGGAGCUGAGAAGUGCACCUCUUUUGUGAUGGAAGUCUGGGAGGUGGGCCACUUAACCUGGAGGGAAGGAGGCUCAAGGAUCAUUUCAUCAGUGUAUGUAAAGGGAGGAUAGAAAGAAGACUGAGCCAGGCUCCUCUUAGGCCCAAGGUGUGACAAGAGGCAGUGGGUGUAUGUAAACCAAAAUGUUCCAUAUUGUGGAACUGAAACCCUUGGUGACUGCUGGAGGAGGUGUGGGAGUGCUGGGGUUGGCAGGAGAUGAUCCUCUGCUCGCACCAGAGGGGCCUUUUGUGUCUUAAUUGUGUAUGGUUGGAGUUAACUAGAAAAUGUGCUUCUCUAGGUUGGUUGGUUGAUGGAAUGGGGAGUUGAGUGAUUUGGAUGGGACUGCAUGCCCAAAUGAAAGCGGAUGUGUAAUAGUUGAAGUACAUUUGUAGAAUUUUAUUGCCAUUGUCUACUGAAAAAUGUUCAGGUGUUCUGCAAUCAUAAUCAGUAAAGUGUUUUGUGCAUCUUCAUGAGUAAGUAAUAGUAGAAAUGGGGAUAGUUUUAGUGGGAUGUGACUUUUAGUGAGUUCACUGAAUGGAGGCUCUGCUGUGUCCCCCCCAGUCAAUACUCAUUCCAAGAAUUUUUGCAGUAAUUUUUUAGUCGCAGCAAAACUUUUUUUUCUUGAAAAUUAAAGAGGUUUGUGUAUUAGGGGAGUGCUUUCACCUUUUGAGUUGCAUCUUAAAGAAUAUUUAAGGUAAUUUUUGAGAAUGUGUGAUAUCUUUAAGAUAAGCUUUUUGUAGAUGAUGACGUGUUUGACGUUGCAACUGAAAAACUGUAAAAGUAUUUAACAUGAGGCAGCUGAUGUUUUUGCUCCAAUGAACACGUGCUUUGGCAGGAUAGAGAAAAAUGGGACUGGGGUACCAAUACUGCAAGUAAUAACUGAAUACAUUGUGUAGUUCUUGAGCCAGAAAGGACUACUGGGAUGUACAAGAAGCUGUGUAUGUGGCCACAUAUGUAUGUGGCCUCCCUGAAAAUUUGAGUGAAGAGCUGCAUUCUGUAUGGGAAUUGAUACAAGUCAGCUGAUAAGUUGUCUUUAUUUAUUUAUUUAUUUCAAUUAUUGUUGUUCUCUUUGUUUCUUCAAAUAACUUCUGUAGACAAAGAGAACUGACUAACUUUUUGAAAGGCAGGUUAAACUGCUCUGGAACACAGUGUAUGUCAGCAAACUGAAGAUGUUUUUUUCUUCCUUUUAUAGCUUUGCUUCUUGAUCCUGAAUAAAUGAUGCCUCCAAAGUGCUCCCGUUUUCUCAAAGAUGGCAACUAUUUUAAAACAAAUGAAGUCGUCUUAUUUUGGUGCAGUGACUCAGAUGUGCUCCUGGCAGUUUGAAAGCACUGUAUAAGUUUCUAUCAGCCUUGAAAAUCUCUAUAAAGCACAAAAGCUUUGCAGCAGCUUUUGGAGGACAAUGAAGACCAGCUCUCCCAGCAUUCAGACUAGUGUUCAUGAGACUGAAGAGCAAUCACAUCGGCUUUGGAAGCCAGAUGGAAAGUGGAAUGAUCAUCUUAUGAUAACUGAUAGUCAAAAUGUAAGUUUGUGUAAGCAAUUAUGUAUGAGUAAGAACUGUUCAUGGAUGACAACACACUAAAUAUUCUUGAAAUUCACUAAAGAAGUAGUUUUAAUGUAGGCAAUGUGCUCUGCUAUUCAUCUGCAGUACUUCCACCUUGAUGAUGUAAAACUACUGUAAAACCCCAGAAAGAAAAAAAUUAUGGUUAAAAAAAAAAAAUCUCGGUUUUGAAAGGGGACUCCAAGUGAUACUGUUUGUAUAUUUCCACUGCAGUGUAUUUCUUCUUUAUUCUUUUUUUCCAAUUUUUGAAAAAAAACAAAAACAACACUUUGCAAUUAUUAAAGACUAAUAGAGUAACGGUUAUUAAUAACUUCUAGUGCUGAGCCUUAAAGUCACCCUUUUCAUGCAUUCUAAAUCUUCAGUCAAAGUAUUGUUGCCAAAAUCGGUGGACAAACUCAAAGGAGCGUACCCUGUAUCUUAUGAGCUCUCACUGCUUUGCACUGGAGCAAUUUGUUAUGCCUGGAAGAAUGCUAUAACUGUAGACUGGUUUGCUUUCUUCUUUACUUAAAUAGAUGAUUGUUAGUAUGUGGAGUUUGUGCCACAUAAUUUCAAGCUUUUUAUUGACUUAAUUUGAUUAAUUUAUUUAUUUUCAGGAGGAGGAUUUGUAUGUAUGCAUGUAUGGUAGGUUUAUGCAUAUAUACACUUAAAAUUAUUAGCUUUUUCUUAAAACAAACAAAAAACCCUUAUUAUUAUUAUUCAUUUUUGCCUGCCAAAGUGAUGAGCUUCUAAAAGAAAAGGAAGAUUAUCUUAACAUUCUGAGGAGUGAGCCUAAAGAGAAAUGAAGCAAUUCUAUUACCAAAAUAAAGAGGCAAUUGCAGAAAGAAAACAAAGAGCAGGCUGAAAAGGAUGUUUCAUUACCCAAAGUCCACUGGGAGAAGGAAGAAGAGUUGUCAGCUUGUCACAGGGAAUUCCAAGUUUUCUGUUGAUUUAAUUUGAUGAAUUUAUUUUCAGAAGGAGGACUUAAAUGUAUGAUAAACUUACACAAACAUUCAUUAUAAUUAACCUUUUUCAAAAAAAUAUUAUCUACCUCAAUCUGAGGGUGAAUGACUCUGCUUUCUAUAUUAUUUGGUUCAGUCAUCUCAUGAAAGUCUGUUCUGUAUGCUUCCCAAUGGAGGCAAGCCAGAAGGAGGAAGAAAAAUAAACUCCUUUAACAAACACACAGUGGGAGGUGUAAUUUGGAGGGUGCAGGGGAGUGAAGGAGUGUCAGGGAUGCUAAGAUGUGCCUCGAGGGGUUUAGGUUGUGGUGUUCUUCAGCAGUGUAGUGCCUUGUCUUGCAAGGAAGAAACUCUUUGCUCACAGGGUGUGGUUUUGGUGUUCAGCUGUCAGGCAAGAUUAUUGGUCUAAGCUGGUUUUUGUUACUGUUAUUAAAUGCCAGUGAAAUGCUAUUUUUAUUCAGACAGUGGGGAGAUUGUCCUAAAUCAUUUUUUCUUUUCCUUGGUAGAAAGAACAAGUCACUGCAAAGAUAGAAAGAGAAUUACAAAGUAGGCUUCAAGAAAUGAAGAAAAAA